rnacentral:rRNA from 1 species
UACGUAGGGUGCAAGCGUUAAUCGGAAUUACUGGGCGUAAAGCGUGCGCAGGCGGUGAUGUAAGACAGGUGUGAAAUCCCCGGCUCAACUGGGGAGGGUCACGCGAUACUGCUCGACUCGAAGGCAGGAGAGGGAAGUGGAAUUCCCGGUGUAGUGGUGAAAUGCGUAGAUAUCGGGAGGAACACCAGUGGCGAAGGCGACUUCCUGGCCUGUUCUUGACGCUGAGGCGCGAAAGCUAGGGUAGCAAACGGG